rnacentral:rRNA from 1 species
CAGUCGCCGCGGUAAUACGUAGGUCCCGAGCGUUGUCCGGAUUUAUUGGGCGUAAAGAGUGCGUAGGCGGGUCUUUAAGUCAGGGGUGAAAUCCUGGAGCUCAACUCCAGAACUGCCUUUGAUACUGAAGAUCUUGAGUUCGGGAGAGGUGAGUGGAACUGCGAGUGUAGAGGUGAAAUUCGUAGAUAUUGGGAAGAACACCAGUGGCGAAGGCGGCUUUCUGGACGGCAACUGACACUGAGGCUCGAAAGCCAGGGGAGCGAACGGGAUUAGAUACCCCAGUAGUCCCUGUCUCUUAUCC